UGGGGAAUAUUGCACAAUGGGCGAAAGCCUGAUGCAGCAACGCCGCGUGAGUGAUGAAGGCCUUCGGGUUGUAAAGCUCUGUCUUUUGGGACGAUAAUGACGGUACCAAAGGAGGAAGCCACGGCUAACUACGUGCCAGCAGCCGCGGUAAUACGUAGGUGGCAAGCGUUGUCCGGAUUUACUGGGCGUAAAGGAUGCGUAGGCGGAUUUUUAAGUGAGAUGUGAAAUACCCGGGCUUAACUUGGGUGCUGCAUUUCAAACUGGGAAUCUAGAGUGCGGGAGAGGAGAAUGGAAUUCCUAGUGUAGCGGUGAAAUGCGUAGAGAUUAGGAAGAACACCAGUGGCGAAGGCGAUUCUCUGGACCGUAACUGACGCUGAGGCAUGAAAGCGUGGGUAGCAAACAGGAUUAGAUACCCUGGUAGUCCACGCCGUAAACGAUGAGUACUAGGUGUAGGAGGUAUCGACCCCUUCUGUGCCGCAGUUAACACAAUCAAGUACUCCGCCUGGGAAGUACGAUCGCAAGAUUAAAACUCAAAGGAAUUGACGGGGUCAAUAGCUGUUUCC
rnacentral:rRNA from 1 species